CUCAGGGCAUCAGAAAACUACAGACAGAUAAAAGAGGUUAACUAAGGAGAGUUUAGACUCCUUUUUUUUAAAAAGCUUGAAGCAAUUCCUUGCUAGGGGCCUGAAAUCAAGGACUGCAAAACCUCUAAGGGCUCCUUCUGUAGCGCUUCCAACCCAGAAUAUUUAUCUUUGUCACAGAGCACAGGAGGGAGAGGAGUUUGCUGCUAGAUUAACAACAAGCUAUAUCACUCCACUAAUUUCCAAAGCUUCUGCUGCAACUGGGACAUGUUCUUCCUUUAGGCCACCCCAGGGCAGUACUAUUCCCAACAGUAUCUGCAGAUAACACUCAAAGGAGCCUCCCUUCCAGCAGCAUCCUGGCUAAUCCCCUGCAGAUAUAAGAGGAGCUGUGCUGUGGCUCUUAUAAACCACGCCUCUCUCUUCACUGCUUAGCUGAGGGUUUUCUUUGUAAAACCACGAGCAUAAUAAUUACUUGGUGGUUUAGGAAAGGCACGUUACAUGCUUCCCUGAAAAGUCAGUAAGUUCCUUGUUUAUCCUCUCAUACAUGCCUGUAAACCAUCAAUAAUUAUGUUUAGCAACAACCCAAGGCAGAGCAUUCCCCUGUACUUGAGAUCUUAGAAGCACAGCCAUUGCUGGUCCAACUCAACACCAAGAAAACUCUGAGAAUCUUGCACUUGUUGGAGGGUCUACUGAUAAGCAUAUUUCCAUUAAGGCUUCUCCUUCUGCUCCAAAAGAUGGGGAAUGCACAUGUGCAGCAUGAUGUAGCACUGAGAUGCUCACGAGGUGUACCUCCUGGCUUGUAUUGAGGGAUACCUCAGGUGCAAGGUCUGCACAGCACACAAGCUGUUGGCAACACCAUAUGGGGCUCCAAGGGCCUCCUCCUAAGCCCUACUCAGGAAAGCAUCUUGAUAACCUGGGAUUAAGCCCCUGGAGGCCAGUUUGGUGCAUUAUCCAAUGGUGUGCCUGGGAGUUCAGCCUUGUGUAUGUCUCUGUCAUUUGGUGAAGAAAAUGAGAUUCCCUCUUUUUUUGAGCCUCACACCUCCUCCAACACCUUUGCCUCCGUGUCCCUUCAUUAAGCAGAACAGCAGAGUAGGGAGUAAUGUGCAGCUUUAAAACCAGAUCAGAAGUUUCGACCAGAGAAAUCCACUGAACUCCAACACAACAAAAAAUAUAUGUAUAUAUUCCCUGAGUACAGUAAAGCAAGUUAAAAAGAAUAAUAUUCUUGUGGUUGAUAAUGAAAUGCUUUUCAUCCUCCCAAUUAGAGGAUGAAAGCCAUGAUUCUCCAAAUGCAGCUCUACAGUGGCCUGAUGUCAUACCUAACCACAAAGCACCAUGAGCUAAUACACCACAACUGUUAGAAAAUACAGUGUCUGACACAUUGGUUUCCUACCCUCACAGUGAAAUAUUUAUGCCAUAAAACUUCCUUCUUUUUAAAAAAGAAGGGCUCUGAAAGAUGGUAUUUAAAAUACCAAGCGAACUACAGGGAGUAGGAACAUUCAAUGGCCGUUUGCUUUCCUUUCGUUUUAGAAAACAGAAGUACUUGGGGCUUCUGUAGGACACGGAAAAUAUUCUGAAGACAUAAGGGGAUGGUUUUCAUUCUAAGGACAUUAGAGGAUUUUUUUAACACCCUUGUUUCCCUGUACCACGCUGACAGUUUAACAGCUUGGCAUUGCUAGAGGAGCAUAGGAGCAUACCCAUACCCAGCCUCUGGGUAAGGAUUCUCCUCAGGUAGUGUGGAAUUGCAAUUUAAAAGUCAAUUAUUUGCAAGCCUGAAUGGAAGAAUGGAGUUAGAGGAAAGGACAGAUGACAAACACAAUUCAUUCAUUGGCUGCAAAGACCACUGCCAAGCGUAAUGCAGAAGGCAUUUUCUAGACAUGGUGUACAGGCAGGGGACACCUGCAGGCAUCUGGGUUGGAACUUUUUAUAAGGGCAGGUAGCGACAGGAUGAGGGGAAAUGGCUUCAAACUGGAAGAGGGUAGAUUUAGACAAGAUAAUUGGGAGAAAUUCUUUACUGUGAGAAUGGUGAGACACUGGAACAGGUUGUCCAGUGAGGUUGUGUAUGCUCCUUCCCUGGAAGCAUCCAAGGCCAGGCUGGAUGGGGCUUUGAGCAACCUGGUCUAGUGGGAGGUGUCCCUGCCUAUAGCUGGGGGUUGGAACUCGUGGAUCUUACAGGUCCUUUCCAACCCAAACCAUUCUGUGAUUCUAUGAUCUCGCAUGCUUCAAUUGAACCCUCAGUCCCUGCCCUGCUCCCACCCCACCUCCCGGUACCGUGUCUCUGCCCACAGCUGCAAAAGCUGGGAAACUGCUCUAAAAAUAGGGAUUUCAGUAAAAACUUGUUUUUGUUUUUGUUUUUGUUUUUUCAGCUCUGUUUUGCUGCGUUACUGUGCAUCAUGCUAGAAAUGUGGGCAAGCGUUGUUUGGUAGCAAGAACCGCCUUUUCAUUUCCAAAGAAUGUCCCCACCAACCACAUCCCCAUGUAAGGAAAAAGAAGCAAUUACUGGUAAUGUUGUGACCAGGGGAAGGCAGAGCUGUGCUCCCCGCCAGACCUCACUGCCAGCAGAGCUUGGCCCGAUGCUCCAGCUGGUCCCGUCCCAUGCCAGUGCCUCGCCUUCAGCUCACUGCACAGCCCAGCAUAGCUCAUGCUUUGCACAGGACAUUUUUUGGCUGAAGGAGAAAUGUCGCCCUGACCAACUGGAGUGCACAAAGAGUCUUAGA
ensembl:lncRNA